GGGCUGAGUGCGCAGUUGGAGAGCGGGGGCGAGGGGCUGGGACUGUGCUGUCAGGGCGGGCGCCGCUGUUCGGGGACUGGAGUGGCGCGGGGCCAGGCCCAGCCCACGGCCCCAGCGGGUGUGGCGGGGAGCGCCGAGCGGUUGGCGGGUGGAGCCGCCUGCGGCAGCCAGGGAAGAAGACUCGGGCCUGAGGGGUCGCAGCCGCUGGAACAACUUCUCCGGGUUCCGGACCGUCAGACUGUGGCUCGCUACGGCGGGUGCUGGAGGUGCUUGGGAGCUGGUUUCCUCUAAUUGCUCAGGUUUGGGGCUCACCCGCUGCCCCUAGCGCUGCUUGCUGCGAGGACGGUUGUGGGGGUCCCUGCAGCCCCGCGGGCUGUUUGCUGAGAAAGGUUGUGGUUUAGAAACAAGAAAAGCUUAGAAUAGCACCAUUCCCAGGGGCUUACGUUGGUAUUAGCCCGUGGAGUGGUGGUGCCACUCUCUCAGGCAGAGGCAGCCACAGCUCUGGGUUGCUAAGCCUCGUGUCCCGGAGCUGCGAGGGUUUGGCAGUUCGGCGCUUGGUGAGCAGCGCUGACGUCGCAGCGACGCUUCUCGCCGAACCGAAUUCUCCGCAUUCUCGAAUCGUCAGAGGGAGUCAGUUAAAGGCUGGAAGCUCUUGUGGGCCCGGUGGGAGGAAAAAGCCAGCGCUGCGGAGGGUUUGCUGCUAUGUGAAAUGCUGUCCCACCGAAAUAGUCGGGUGUCAGCCUCACGGGUAUGAUCACUGCCCCCCGAACGCUGUGCUUGGGAACAGACGUUGCACCCGUGCUUCCUCCAAAGCCGGUAACGUGGAGCUUAUUGUGAUAAAUAGGAGCACCGCCACCUCUGUCUUUGGCAUCUAGAGCUGCCACAGAAGCCUGAUCAGGUGGAGACCGAAAUUCUCCCGAGGCUAGUGUAAGCAGGAAGCGGUCACAGAAAUAAACAGAUCAACCAGUAACAUCUGUUCUUCUGCAAUUACCACCCAAACAACUGAACUCACUGAGACAGUGGGGACUAACUUGUUUCACAACUGGGAGCUGCUGACAGCAUGACAAGCCUUGCUGCAUGGGAUUAUAUGGACAACUCAGAGUGAGCCAGCUGAACAGGAAAGGACAUCUGCCAUCCUGGACACGUACUGAGAGAGAUGAUGGCAAUAAGGAAUGACUGGAUUGGGCAUCAAGGAAGAAAUUAUUCCAGCAAUGAUGAAAAGAUAAGAGAGGCUUAUUUGGCUGGGUUCUGGACCUCAGCGAGCUGGAGGAAGACAACUAGCACCUAUACAAACCAGUACUGCUAAUGAAUCCUCUCUUAAAGUUAUCCAGUGAUGAUGUUUUGAACGGAGUGCAAUUACCAAUAUCUGUUACUUCUUCAGGAAAUUCAGAAACUUGACCUCUUGUAUCAGUGGAACCAGAAAAAGAAAUCUGAGCUCCCAGAGAAAUCACCAAUGCCUGAUUUGUUCAGACUUGUCUCCCAUACUUACUCUGGAGAGUGGUUGUUCAAGGCGAUGCUGA